rnacentral:tRNA from 1 species
GGUAGGAUUAGUUUAAUCGGUUAAAAUGACGUCUUGUGGCGACGAUGUUCAGAGUUCGAGUCUCUGAUCUUACC